CCUACGGGAGGCAGCAGUGGGGAAUAUUGGACAAUGGGCGAAAGCCUGAUCCAGCCAUGCCGCGUGUGUGAAGAAGGCCUUCGGGUUGUAAAGCACUUUCAGUGGGGAAGAAAGCCUUGGGGCUAAUACCCUCGAGGAAGGACAUCACCCACAGAAGAAGCACCGGCUAACUCCGUGCCAGCAGCCGCGGUAAUACGGAGGGUGCGAGCGUUAAUCGGAAUUACUGGGCGUAAAGCGCGCGUAGGCGGUCUGAUAAGCCGGUUGUGAAAGCCCCGGGCUCAACCUGGGAACGGCAUCCGGAACUGUCAGGCUAGAGUGCAGGAGAGGAAGAUAGAAUUCCCGGUGUAGCGGUGAAAUGCGUAGAGAUCGGGAGGAAUACCAGUGGCGAAGGCGGCCUUCUGGACUGACACUGACGCUGAGGUGCGAAAGCGUGGGUAGCAAACAGGAUUAGAUACCCCUGUAGUC
rnacentral:rRNA from 1 species